rnacentral:rRNA from 1 species
GACGAACGCUGGCGGCGUGCUUAACACAUGCAAGUCGAACGGUGAAGCGCCUUCCUUUUUGGUGGGUGUGGAUGAGUGGCGAACGGGUGAGUAACACGUGAGUAACCUGCCCCCUUCUUCUGGAUAACCGCAUGAAAGUGUGGCUAAUACGGGAUAUUCUGGGUCUGUCGCAUGAUGGGUCUGGGAAAGAUAUUGUUUCGGUGGGGGAUGGGCUCGCGGCCUAUCAGCUUGUUGGUGGGGUGAUGGCCUACCAAGGCGGUGACGGGUAGCCGGCCUGAGAGGGUGGACGGUCACACUGGGACUGAGACACGGUCCAGACUCCUACGGGAGGCAGCAGUGGGGAAUAUUGCACAAUGGGCGCAAGCCUGAUGCAGCGACGCCGCGUGAGGGAUGGAGGCCUUCGGGUUGUGAACCUCUUUCGCCAGUGAAGCAGGCCUGCCUCGUUUGUGGGUGGGUUGACGGUAGCUGGAUAAGAAGCGCCGGCUAACUACGUG